AUGCCGCUGGCUAGAGAUCUAUAACACCCUUCCUUGGAAGAGGAGAAGAAAAAACAUAAGAAGAAACGGCUAGUUCAGAGCCCAAAUUCUUACUUCAUGGAUGUGAAAUGUCCAGGUUGCUACAAGAUCACUACAGUCUUCAGCCAUGCUCAGACAGUAGUUCUUUGUGUGGGCUGUUCAACUGUGCUGUGCCAGCCCACAGGAGGAAAAGCCAGGCUCACAGAAGGCUGUUCAUUUAGAAGAAAGCAACACUAAUCAUCUAUACAAGGUCCUGAAUUUGUGUUUUUCACAGAAAGCCUUAUCAACUUCAGUUAUUCUACCAAGACAAUGUAAUUAUUGUUUGAUUUUAUAAAGUCUACAACAAUGAUCUCCUAUUUUGGUGUCGGUUUUUCAAUAAAGUUUUAAUUAUGGA